rnacentral:rRNA from 1 species
GCAUCGAUGAAGAACGCAGCGNGACGCGAUAGGUAAUGUGAAUUGCAGAAUUCCGUGAAUCAUCGAAUCUUUGAACGCACCUUGCGCUCCAUGGCAUUCCGUGGAGCAUGCCUGUUUGAGUGCCGCGAAAUCUCCCACCCCUAGCGGUUGCCGCAAGGCGCCGCCGGGCGGCGGGGUUGGUUGGGUGCCGCUGCCUGGGCUUUGGCCCAGGCUCGCCCGAAAUGCAUGAGCGCUUAGCACUCGCACCGUCUCGAGGGAAGGCGGCGGAGCUGGCAUCUGCGCAUGGCAUGAUACGUCAUUUGCUGUGUGGCAGCCCAGCGACCCGAGAGUGUGUGUGCGCUACUACACGCCCUUUCAUUUCUGGUCUCAAAUCAGGUAGGAUCACCCGCUGAACUUAAGCAUAUCAAUAAGCGGAGGA